rnacentral:rRNA from 1 species
GACGAACGCUGGCGGCGUGCUUAACACAUGCAAGUCGAACGGAAAGGCCCUGCUUGCAGGGUACUCGAGUGGCGAACGGGUGAGUAACACGUGGGUGAUCUGCCCUGCACUUCGGGAUAAGCCUGGGAAACUGGGUCUAAUACCGGAUAGGAGCCAUUCUUAGUGUGAUGGUUGGAAAGUUUUUUCGGUGUAGGAUGAGCUCGCGGCCUAUCAGCUUGUUGGUGGGGUAAUGGCCUACCAAGGCGGCGACGGGUAGCCGGCCUGAGAGGGUGGACGGCCACAUUGGGACUGAGAUACGGCCCAGACUCCUACGGGAGGCAGCAGUGGGGAAUAUUGCACAAUGGGCGCAAGCCUGAUGCAGCGACGCCGCGUGGGGGAUGACGGCCUUCGGGUUGUAAACUCCUUUCGCUAGGGACGAAGCUUUUUGUGACGGUACCUAGAGAAGAAGCACCGGCUAACUACGUG